UAUAUAGCUCGGUAAAGCAUGAGGCUCUUAAUCUCAGGGUUGUGGGUUUGAGUCCCACAUCGGGCAAAA
rnacentral:tRNA from 1 species